CAAUUCAUCAUCUGUCAUAGGGGAACGU
rnacentral:misc_RNA from 1 species